rnacentral:rRNA from 1 species
UGAUCCUGUCAUACCAUCCUAAACACACCUGGUCUCUUCUGAUUUCAGAUACUAAGCAGCUACAGGCCUGGUUUAAACUUGGAUGGGGAUAGUAGGCCUCUCAUGGUAGGACUAGGAAAGUAUCCU